rnacentral:rRNA from 1 species
GACGAACGCUGGCGGCGUGCUUAACACAUGCAAGUCGAACGGAAAGGCCCUGCUUUUGUGGGGUGCUCGAGUGGCGAACGGGUGAGUAACACGUGAGUAACCUGCCCUUGACUUUGGGAUAACUUCAGGAAACUGGGGCUAAUACCGGAUAGGAGCUCCUGCUGCAUGGUGGGGGUUGGAAAGUUUCGGCGGUUGGGGAUGGACUCGCGGCUUAUCAGCUUGUUGGUGGGGUAGUGGCUUACCAAGGAUUUGACGCGUAGCCGUACUGUGAGGGUGACCAGCCAAAUUGGAACUGCAAUCCGGCCCAGACUCCUACGGGAGGAAGCAGUGUGGAAUAUUGCACACUGGGCGGAGGCCUGAUCCAGCAACGCCGCGUGCGGGAUGACGGCCUUCGGGUUGUAAACCACUUUCGCCUGUGACGAAGCGUGAGUGACGGUAAUGGGUAAAGAAGCACCGGCUAACUACGUG